GGAAGUAAAAGUCGUAACAAGAUUUCCGUAGGUGAACCUGCGGAAGGAUCAUUAUCGAAAUACUUAUUUAGCGUUCCGUGCUAUCCCAUUGUUUUAUUUACCCUGUUGCUUCCACUGGAUGAGUUUCCAUACCUUGUGUUUGAGAAACUUUGGCUUGUGUAAGAUUCAUUCACGGCCAGCCAGUGAGAAGACCAUUUACAAAACCCUGUUAAGAACCAAUUGUCUGAAUAUUUUACUCCAAUGAAAUAAAACUUUCAACAACGGAUCUCUAGGCUCUU
rnacentral:misc_RNA from 1 species